rnacentral:lncRNA from 1 species
UUUUCCACCCGUCGCUUUACUUCUGUGAGUUAAAACAUAGGUCCUAACUGUAUAUUGUAACGCAUUGUGCCUUUGUUUCGAUUCGGGGGUGGACUUAGCGAAAGCAAUGGCAAUGUUUUCGAUUUAAAACGCUAGCAAAGCUGGCUGACAUAGGUAGGAAGCUAGCAUUAGCCUAGCUAACGUUAGCCAACAAUUGUCAAGGAGAAUAUCUUUCACAAAUAUUUUCCCCAAUUUUUUAACAACACAAUCUCUUGAUUUAGAAGUAUAUUGGACGCACCCAGGAAAAAAGAAGGUGAUGGAGGUGGAACUUGACCCAGCCAACUGAGUCACCGUUUCCCCGCAGAUAAUGGAUGCAGUUGUUCCUCUUUGUGCAUGACUUAAUUCAUGUGGCCUGAUGGGAGGACACAGUGGAUAGUACUGUCGUCAGGAUACCAGGAGAGCCAUCCCAUGCCCCC